GUACUCGCUUCAGCAGCACAUACGAUAAAAUUGGAAUGAUGCAGAGAUUAGCAUGGCCCCUACACAAGGAGGACACAAAAAUUCAUGAAGCAUUCCAUAUUUUU